UCCCUGGUGGUCCAGUGGCUAAGGCUCUGCACUCCCAAUGCAAGGGCCCUAGGUUCAAUCCCUGAUCAGGGGA
rnacentral:tRNA from 1 species